CGCGCUAUAUCUAAGGAUAGUGAUCUACAUCAUCACCAAUCAAAGUCCAGAAAUCCGUCGCAGUGACAGCGAGCACUAAGCUAUUUCUUCUUAUUUUUAAAACACAUUUAUUCAAGAGGGCUGCUGCAUUGCUUUUACAGUUACAAAGAUAUCCAACUGAAAUGACGGACUUUCUCACUUUUCCCGCACUGCUCUGGAGCGUCCUGUUGCUAGUGCUCAGCGGCAUCAUCACACCCGCAUGCACAGAUGAUUGUCACCCAGGGCCGGGGGGUGUACCUGGUCUACCAGGGCUUGAUGGCUGUAACGGGACCAGAGGGGACACUGGUUUCCCUUGAAUCCAUGGGCUGGACGGGCCUGAUGGGGGAGCGGGAUCAAAGGGGUGCCAGGGGACCCCACCAUUCAGUUCAUCCAGUACUCUGCUAUACCUGGUGAUGUCGGCCGUGCUAGGGUUACUGGACUGCCUGAAGAUACUCACCUGAGAUAAGAAGGUCUGGGAUAUGACACGUUUCAGGUCGACAUGGCAUCCUGAGCAUGGCAGAUCAGAACCGCUGAGGUUUCUGGGCAUGUAGCUGCACUGGAAAGUCCAGGUGUAACUGUGAUGGAGUUAAAGGCAGUAAGGGGGACAGUGGAUACCCAGGGUUACCUGGGGUGCUGGGAGCUGCUGGAUUGCCAGUAAGUGCUGCCAAUAUCGUGUCAAAUGUCACUAAGCACCUUACUUUACCUGUCAUCAAUCACGGUCGUCAAUCAUGUGAUCUCAAUCAUUAUCCUAUGAUAUUUCAAUUGAUAAAUAAGGUUUCCAAGAGUGAACAAACUACAUUUUAAUGAAAUAACAUUUAAAUGUAUUUGUUUAUCUUCUCGUGAGUGUUGUCUAUGAACUAAUGACAGUUGAACAUGCAAAUGUGUUUAAUACAUUUUUUAAACAAGAUCCCCAUGUCAUGCCCUGAUUUGUUUCACCUGUCCUUGUGAUUGUUUCCACCCUCCUCCAGGUGUUGCCCAUCUUCCCCAUUAUCCCCUGUGUAUUUAUACCUGUGUUCUCUGUUUGUCCGUUGCCAGUUUGUCUUGUUUGUCAAGUCGACCAGCGUUUUUGUUCUCAGCUCCUGCUUUUCCCAGUCUCUCCUUUUUCUCGCCCUCCUGGUUUUGACCCUUGCCUGUCCUGACUCCGAGCCUGCCUGCCUGACCACUCUGCCUACCCCUGACCCUGAGCCUGCCUGCCGACCUGUACCUUUGCGCCACCUCUGGCUUGUUGACCUCUGCCUACCCUGACCCUGCCGUCCGGUACAAUUGCCCCACCUCUGGUUUACUGACCCCUGCCUGCCUUGACCUGUCUAUUGCCUGCCCCUGUUGGACUAUUAAACCAUUGUCAAUUCAACGUGUCUGCAUCUGGGUCGUAGCUUGAUUCCUGACACCCCAUGUUCAGUCCUAUGAAAAUGUCAUCGGCUAUGGUGUAACCACAAAGCACCUUACCUCACCUGUCUGAAUACAUCACCGUAAAAGCUAGACAUCAUCACAGCUGUCUCGCAUGUGAUCUCAAUCAUGAUAAUCAUAUAUAUGUAGCUGUCCAUCCUUCCUUCCAGUUUCUUCCCCCACAGUGGUAGAUACAGUACAAUAGUGUCAGGUCUUGUUUAGCUUUUACAGUAAACUUGUGAUGUGCAGCUCACACUUAUCUUUCUUUCUUAAAGAGCUUUCAUGGAUUGCCAGGACUUAAUGUACAAUAAGUGUGUGUGUGUGUGUGUGUGUGUGUGUGUGUGUGUGUGUGUGUGUGUGUGUGUGUGUGUGUGUGUGUGUGUGUGUGUGUGUUAUACAAUUUGCAUAUGUUUGCAUGGUGCAGUAGUGGCACUGAGUAUUUUCUCCCCUGUGCUUGGGUGUGUAAUCCAACUACAGCUACUGUCUGUUUUUUUGUGGACCAUAAGACUAAAGUAUAUUGUACUUACAGUGAGACUCUUACUACUUCCCAACCGCUGCUGAGGUGGAUGGACAUCUUGGACCACCAGGGAGAGAUGGUGUCAAGAUAAGGAGACCUCCCACCCUGCCUACAUCAGGGUUGUGUUUAUUGCGCACCAAACGGAAGAAAGCUGACUAGCACAGGGAGGGACUACCUGGACUAACUCAUAUUUUUGUAUUCCAUUGCAAAACGUAAAAUGUUUUUACAAGUUUUGCGUACCCUAUUAAUCACAACCCAUAACUCACAUGUCUCUGAGUUUAUGCUUCUAUUCCAAAAUGAGAAGAAUGGACUUGCCUGCUACCUAUUAUUACUAUGGCCAGGAGUUUCUUAGCUGACCACAGACCCUAUAAUUGUAACUUGGACAAAUAGUUUUCACAUGGUCAAGGAAAACUCCUGGCACCCUAUAUUACAGUUAUAAUUUCAUGUGCAUCGUGGCCUGUGUGGUCGAGUGGUUAGUGUGUGGUCAAGUGGUACACGUGUAUAGCCUAGGCUGCCAGAGUCUUCAUGGGUUGGAAUCCGACCCACUGCACUUCUGACUCGCAAUCUUUAAUGUCUCCUCAAUAAAAAUGAUCUCUCUCAUUAAAUAAAUAAAAAUUCACAAAAAAUAUUAUAGAAAAAAAUAUUUUUUUGUGCAAUUGACUGACUGGCCACUGUUUUUUAGGGUCAGCGAAGGUUAUGAAAUCAAAUCAAAUUGUAUUUGUCACAUACACAUGGUUAGCAGAUGUUAAUGCAAGUGUAGCGAAAUGCUUGUGCUUCUAGUUCCGACAAUGCAGUAAUAACCAACGCGUAAUCUAACCUAACAAUUUCACAACUACCUUAUACACACAAGUGUAAAGGAAUUAAGAAUAUGUACAUAAAAAUAUAUGAAUGAGUGAUGGUACAGAACGGCAUAGGCAAGAUGCAGUAGAUGGUAUCGA